GGCGUUAACAAAGGGAAGCGAAAGGGUGACCUGGAGCAAACCCCAGAAAAAUCGUCCCAGUUCGGAUUGUAGUCUGCAACUCGACUACAUGAAGUUGGAAUCGCUAGUAAUCGCGAAUCAGAAUGUCGCGGUGAAUACGUUCCCGGGUCUUGUACACACCGCCCGUCACACCAUGGGAGUUGGAAGCGCCCGAAGCCGGUGACUCAACCGUAAGGAGAGAGCCGUCGAAGGUGAAGUCAAUGACUGGGGUG
rnacentral:rRNA from 1 species